GGACGAACGCUGGCGGCGUGCCUAAUACAUGCAAGUCGAACGGUCUUUCUAUGGAAGCUUGCUUCCACUGAGAAGAUAGUGGCGAACGGGUGAGUAACACGUGGGUAACCUGCCCAUAAGAGGGGGAUAACAUCCGGAAACGGGUGCUAAUACCGCAUAGUUUUCUUGAUUGCAUGAUUGAGAAAGGAAAGACGGCCUUUGUGCUGUCGCUUAUGGAUGGACCCGCGGCGUAUUAGUUAGUUGGUGAGGUAACGGCUCACCAAGACGAUGAUACGUAGCCGACCUGAGAGGGUGAUCGGCCACAUUGGGACUGAGACACGGCCCAAACUCCUACGGGAGGCAGCAGUAGGGAAUCUUCCGCAAUGGACGAAAGUCUGACGGAGCAACGCCGCGUGAGUGAAAGAAGGUUUUCGGAUCGUAAAACUCUGUUGUCAGAGAAGAACAAGUUGGAGAGUAACUGCUCCAGCCUUGACGGUAUCUGACCAGAAAGCCACGGCUAACUACGUGCCAGCCGCCGC
rnacentral:rRNA from 1 species